GACGAACGCUGGCGGCGUGCUUAACACAUGCAAGUCGUACGGUAAGGCCCUUUCGGGGGUCCACGAGUGGCGCACGGGUGAGUAACACGUGAGUAACCUGCCCACAACUUUGGGAUAACGCUAGGAAACUGGUGCUAAUACUGGAUAUGUGCCCCUGCUGCAUGGUGGGGGUUGGAAAGCUCCGGCGGUUGUGGAUGGACUCGCGGCCUAUCAGCUUGUUGGUGGGGUAGUGGCCUACCAAGGCGGCGACGGGUAGCCGGCCUGAGAGGGUGACCGGCCACAUUGGGACUGAGAUACGGCCCAGACUCCUACGGGAGGCAGCAGUGGGGAAUAUUGCACAAUGGGCGCAAGCCUGAUGCAGCAACGCCGCGUGCGGGAUGACGGCCUUCGGGUUGUAAACCGCUUUCAGCAGGGACGAAGCUUUUUGUGACGGUACCUGCAGAAGAAGCACCGGCUAACUACGUG
rnacentral:rRNA from 1 species